rnacentral:rRNA from 1 species
UACGUAGGGUGCAAGCGUUAUCCGGAAUUAUUGGGCGUAAAGAGCUCGUAGGCGGUUUGUCGCGUCUGCUGUGAAAACUGGAGGCUCAACCUCCAGCCUGCAGUGGGUACGGGCAAACUAGAGUGCGGUAGGGGAGAUUGGAAUUCCUGGUGUAGCGGUGGAAUGCGCAGAUAUCAGGAGAAACACCGAUGGCGAAGGCAGAUCUCUGGGCCGUAACUGACGCUGAGGAGCGAAAGCAUGGGGAGCGAACAGG